GAAUUUCAAUGAAUUUCCUUAAAUCUAGGAGAUAAAUGGUAUUCUGCAAGCGCACUCCGCAGACUGCAUAAUUGAACCAUUACAGUUUACAAACAUUCUUUUUGCAUACCAGUAGUUGGUUUAUUGAAUAGCAUUCGAAUUAGAACAUUUUUCUUUUAUUUUUCUUGGUACUAUUUUCCUCUUGCGUUUUGUUUAGGGAACUUUUCCUUUUAGAGCUUUCUUUGGCAAACAACUGCUUAUCUUUUUCCCUUCCUUUUCUGUUUCUUUUUUCUGCAGGAGCA
rnacentral:lncRNA from 1 species